GGCCUUGUAUUUACUUUUUGAUCCAACUUGGUGUGUUUAUUUAAUCUGCAAUGACUCAGCUUGCUGGCUGCUUUAGGAACUGGGCGUGUGUGUUCUCAUGAUGCCAAGGCUGGUGGCUUUGUUCUGAAUUGCAGAGGCCUGGAAAGAGGGCAUGUUCCCCCUUACAAACUGGCCAUCUGAACUUCUCUUUUCUUCUACGAAGCAGAGCCAGUCCAGAGGCCGACUAACACUGUGCUGCCCAUCUUCUUAUCUCUCUACGGCACAUUCCAGAGGAAACACAGAGGAAGAGAAUUUGUACUAAAGAAAGAAGACAUGGGCAUCUCCAAAGCUACUUCCACCUAAGAACUAUGAAAAUAUAAAGAUGUAGAUGUAACCAACUGUCUUAUUGAAUAAGAAACACAGAACCAAUGUAAAAGAGAAAGC